GGGCGUAUAGCUCAGUCGGUUAGAGCGCGUCACUGAUAAUGACGAGGUCCAUGGUUCGAAUCCAUGUACGCCCA
rnacentral:tRNA from 1 species